GAAGAGAAGAAGAAGAAAGAAGGAAGCAUGGUGCGCGGUGCACGUGGCCAGAAAAGAGGAUGCCAGACAUGCAGUAUUGGGCGUGCAGUGCCCGCCGUUAAAGAAAAAGAAGAAGAAGAAGAAGAAAGAGAAGGAGGAGGAGGAAUGAAGCAUGACACGUGGCGCGCACGAUCGGAAGCAGAGUUGCGCGCAAUGCUGAGCACGUGGCGCGCGGUGCUGGGUACGUGGCGCUGUGCUGGGUGCACAAUGCAUGGUACUGGGCGCAUAGCAUGCGACGCACAGUACUGGGCACACGACACGCGACGCACUGUGUCAGGCGUGCGACGCUCGUUGCUGAAGAAGAAGUAAAACGUGUGUUGGGUGCACCUGAUCCACGUGAGGCAGACCACGGCGAGGCGUUCUGGAUACGUUCAAAGAUCUGUGCGAGGCCAAAAAUCAGAAAACUAGAGAGAGACUAAAAUUGCACUUUUUCAAGUAGAAAGUUCGAAUUCAACACCGAUUUCGGUAAAAAAAUUUCCACUUACAUUCGAUUGUUACUUUAAAUUAAAUUCUUAAUCAUGUGUAUGAAAUUUUUAGAAAAAUUGAGAAUAGAAAACUGAAAAGAGAGCCGACUGUAUGGAACCAAAGUUGUUCAAAAAUUUUUCAAUUUCUUCUUUUGUUAGAGAUUUUGGUAAGAAUUAAGUUAGUUUUCAUUCAGAGAUUUUAUGUUUUCAUAAAAUGAUUUAUUGAUAUCAAAAUGAUUAAUUUAAAAGUUUGAUGGAUGAUUUAAGUAUUUUUCUGGAAGGUGUUUUGCAAAGUUCAUAUGUAAAUGAGUAUGUAUUGACUCUGGUGUUUUAUAGGAUAUAUGUAUAAUAAUAUAGAUACAGCUAUGCCGUGCGUGAAUAAAUAUGUAAAGAUGUAGUUAUACAUAGGUUGCUGUUUGUUUAACGUAUAGGAUUCCAUGUAUAAAAAGUAGAUAUAUUCUAGGGUGUGUUUACGUAUGUAGCUAUAUAUAUAUAUAUGAUUAUGUGAUAUGUGUUUACAUACAUGUAACACCCAAAUUAUUAUUUUUAUUUUCGUAUUUGAAUUUUAGUUUAAUUUUUUAAUACAUCUAAUUUAUAAGAU
rnacentral:lncRNA from 1 species